rnacentral:rRNA from 1 species
ACUCAAAGGAAUAGACGGGGACCCGCACAAGCAGGGGAGCGUGUGGUUUAAUUCGAUACUAAGCGAAAAACCUCACCCAGGUUUGACAUGGUGCUGCAAGCGCACAGAGAUGUGUGACCUUCGAGGGUGCACCACAGGUAUUGCACGGCUGUCGUCAGCUCGUACCGUGAGGCGUUGGCUUAAGUGCCGCAACGAGCGCAACCCCCAUCCUUAGUUGUAUCACUCUAAGGAGACUGCCUACCGUAUAGGUGGGAGGAAGGUGGGGAUGACGUCAAGUCAGCGUGAUCCUUAUGUCUGGGGCUACACACACCCUACAAUGGCGCAUAACAACGGGCUUAAAGCGACGUGGUAACACGAAGCGAAUCCCUAAAACUGCGCCUCAGUUCAGAUCGAGGGCUGAAACCCGCCCUCGUGAAGGAGGACUUGCUAGUAAUCGCAGAUCAGCAGGCUGCGGUGAAUACGUUCUCGGGUCUUGUACACACCGCCCGU